UACGUAGGGGGCAAGCGUUGUCCGGAUUUAUUGGGCGUAAAGAGCGUGUAGGCGGCCUGGAAGGUCAGCUGUGAAAACUCGAGGCUCAACCUCGAGACGUCGGUUGAAACCACCUGGCUAGAGUCCGGAAGAGGAGAGUGGAAUUCCCGGUGUAGCGGUGAAAUGCGCAGAUAUCGGGAAGAACACCAAUGGCGAAGGCAGCACUCUGGGACGUGACUGACGCUGAGACGCGAAAGCGUGGGGAGCAAACAGG
rnacentral:rRNA from 1 species